rnacentral:rRNA from 1 species
GACGAGGGGUGCGAGCGUUAUUCGGAAUUAUUGGGCGUAAAGGGUGCGUAGACGGCAUACUAAGUCUGUUGUUAAAUCUCCCGGCUUAACCGGGAAUCAGCGAUGGAUACUGAUAUGCUAGAGGGUGGAAGAGAGAAGUGGAAUUCUCGGAGUAGCGGUAAAAUGCGUAGAUCUCGAGAGGAACACCAAUGGCGAAGGCAGCUUCUUAGUCCAUUUCUGACGUUGAGGCACGAAAGCGUGGGGAGCAAAC